rnacentral:rRNA from 1 species
ACUCCUACGGGAGGCAGCAGUAAGGAAUAUUGCGCAAUGGACGAAAGUCUGACGCAGCGACGCCGCGUGGGGGAUGAAGGUCUUCGGAUUGUAAACCCCUUUCGGCAGGGAAGAUGGAACGGGCAACCGUUCGGACGGUACCUGCGGAAGCAGCCACGGCUAACUUCGUGCCAGCAGCCGCGGUAAUACGAAGGUGGCAAGCGUUGUUCGGAUUCACUGGGCGUACAGGGAGCGUAGGCGGUUAGGUAAGCCCUCCGUGAAAUCUCCGGGCCUAACCCGGAAAGUGCAGAGGGGACUGCUUGGCUAGAGGAUGGGAGAGGAGCGCGGAAUUCCCG